AUGGGGCCACUUGUAUGCAAAUUUUCUUCUCCCUCUGCCACCCCUGUGACAGCAAUACUAACCCCUCCGCUUCCUCCAUCUCCUCAGCCUACUCCACGUGAAGACGAUGAGGAUGAAGACCUUUAUAAUGAUCCAUUUCCACUUAAUGAAUUGAAAGACAUGGAUUAUGAAGGCUCCAGCAUUACUGAAUUUGUACUCGGUUUGCCGAGGUUUGGCUCAGCUCCGCAUCAGGGAGGGCCCAUAUGGAGACUCAAGAUCAGCCUGGACUCUCCGCAUGCUGGAUUCUCAAGGUCCCAGGUUGAAAGAGAGAAAGAGUGAGACUGACAGAAAGAGGCAGAGAGAAAGAACGGAAGUGGGGACCAGAUAUUUACUCCACACACAGUUGACAGCGGGUAUAAAAUCUCAGUGGUGAAUUGAAAGAAAUUUUGGUAGUAGCUUAGAAUUUAAAAUAUAGAUACUCUUUGACCCAGCAGUUCCACAUCUUAUUUACUUGCAAGGAAAACUCAUGGAUAUGCAGAAAACAUACAACGAUGUUCAUUGCAAACACUGCUUGUUCUAGCAAAGAAUUGAAAGAACUGAGAGAAAACCAAUGGUUAAAUAUACUAUGGCACAUCACUGGCUAAAUAAAUAUACUAUAACUUAUUCAUAUCUUAAGAUACUAUAUAGAAGAUAAAAACUAAUUAGAUACAUAUGUACUGAUGUGGAUGUUUAGUGAGAAGACAUGUUUAAAAUUAAAAUAGUAUCAUAUAUUGUUAUAUAAAAAUAAGCAAAGAACUAACUGCUUUACUUGACAAAGGACAUUUUUGGUAAAGGGUGAGCAAACCAAGAAAGAGAUACACCUUCAAUUUAUCUUUUCGAGAGUUUUGUUGCCAAAUGCAUCUUGAGUAUUGCCACAAGAAAACUGAAAUAAAGAAGAUACUAGAUGUUACCCUUUUCCUUUAUGGAAAAGUGAAAGGAACAAUCCCUGAGAGUGAAGAACAAAAUACAAGCAAUUACAUCAGAAAGGAACCCUGCAGCUUGUGUUCUCUCUCUCUCUUAUCCUUGCCCAAGGAGCAGAGCAGUCAUCGACAGCAAGCAGUGGCUACCACCAGGUGGCACCACCUACCUGCCAACUUCUUGCUCAGGAGAGCUACUGCAGCUUUUCAUUGAGUUUCUCCUCACUCUGUUCAGAAACAUUUCUCUAGUAACCUACUGUAGAAUUGAUCCCCAAACGUAUAAAGAUCUGCCCUCUGCCUUACUUGGCACUAGGAAUUUUAUUCCUAUUUUGUUGAUGGACAGAUUUCUCCCACCUCCAUCCCUACAACCAAUAUAUAUAUUUUAAAAAUGCAUAAUUAC
rnacentral:lncRNA from 1 species